rnacentral:rRNA from 1 species
GAUGAACGCUGGCGGCGUGCCUAAUACAUGCAAGUCGAGCGAACAGAUAAGGAGCUUGCUCCUUUGACGUUAGCGGCGGACGGGUGAGUAACACGUGGGUAACCUACCUAUAAGACUGGAAUAACUCCGGGAAACCGGGGCUAAUGCCGGAUAACAUUUAGAACCGCAUGGUUCUAAAGUGAAAGAUGGUUUUGCUAUCACUUAUAGAUGGACCCGCGCCGUAUUAGCUAGUUGGUAAGGUAACGGCUUACCAAGGCAACGAUACGUAGCCGACCUGAGAGGGUGAUCGGCCACACUGGAACUGAGACACGGUCCAGACUCCUACGGGAGGCAGCAGUAGGGAAACUUCCGCAAUGGGCGAAAGCCUGACGGAGCAACGCCGCGUGAGUGAUGAAGGUCUUCGGAUCGUAAAACUCUGUUAUUAGGGAAGAACAAAUGUGUAAGUAACUGUGCACGUCUUGACGGUACCUAAUCAGAAAGCCACGGCUAACUACGUG